rnacentral:rRNA from 1 species
GUGGGGAAUCUUGCGCAAUGGGCGAAAGCCUGACGCAGCCAUGCCGCGUGAAUGAUGAAGGUCUUAGGAUUGUAAAAUUCUUUCACCGGGGACGAUAAUGACGGUACCCGGAGAAGAAGCCCCGGCUAACUUCGUGCCAGCAGCCGCGGUAAUACGAAGGGGGCUAGCGUUGCUCGGAAUUACUGGGCGUAAAGGGCGCGUAGGCGGACAGUUUAGUCAGAGGUGAAAGCCCAGGGCUCAACCUUGGAAUUGCCUUUGAUACUGGCUGUCUUGAGUACGGGAGAGGUGAGUGGAACUCCGAGUGUAGAGGUGAAAUUCGUAGAUAUUCGGAAGAACACCAGUGGCGAAGGCGACACACUGGCUCAUUACUGACGCUGAGGCGCGAAAGCGUGGGGAGCAAACAGGAUUAGAAACCCUUGUAGUCC